GCAGAUUCCAUCCUGAGAGGCCAAGACACACGCAGGAGGAGCUGGCUUUCAUUUCUUGUCAAUGCCUUUGGCAUUUCGGGGACGACAGGGCUUGAGCUUCUGCUUGGCAAAGAUAUUUUUUCUGGAUCUCCUGGAGGUUAUCUGUUGGCUUCGGUUGCACUGAUCAUUGUCUACUUUGAUGCUUGGCGGUACGAAAUCCAGGAACAGCCUCAUCGGUCGCUUUCGGAAGAGGUGUCACUAGGCCCUUCACCUGGCUUCCAUUGCUGGUGUUACCUGCAGAGCAGAAGGCCCAGGUACCUUGAGUGACUUGGAAGUUGGAUGGACGAAGCCCCAGCUGUUCUGCCCANGGAUGAGAUAUUUUGGGAGCCACAGUUCAGUGACAUCUGAAAAGCUACUGUUUGGCCACUCCUGAUCUAGCAGGUAUGGAAGCUG
rnacentral:lncRNA from 1 species